AGCGAACGUUAGCGGCGGGCUUAACACAUGCAAGUCGAGCGAGAGAGUGACUUCGGUCAUGAGUAAAGCGGCAGACGGGUGAGGAACACGUAGGUAAUUUUCCGUUUAGUGGGGGACAACGGUCCGAAAGGACCGCUAAUACCGCAUACGUUCCUUGGGGCUUUGGCCCUGGGGAGGAAAGCUGGGCAACUGGCGCUAAAUGAGAAGCCUGCGUCGCAUCAGCUAGUUGGUGGGGUAAUGGCCUACCAAGGCGAAGACGCGUAGCUGGUCUGAGAGGAUGAUCAGCCACACUGGAACUGAGACACGGUCCAGACUCCUACGGGAGGCAGCAGUGGGGAAUAUUGGACAAUGGGCGCAAGCCUGAUCCAGCCACGCCGCGUGAGUGAUGAAGGCCUUCGGUCGUAAAGACGUCUGUUGGGGAGGAGGACGAACCGACUGGGGUAACCUUCAGCAUGACGGUAGUCUCCUUAGCAAGCACCGGCUAAC
rnacentral:rRNA from 1 species